rnacentral:rRNA from 1 species
AAAAACAUGUCUUUAAGUUUUUAUUUAAAGUUUAACCUGCCCUAUGAUUAACUAUUAAAUGGCCGCAGUACUUUAACUGUGCUAAGGUAGCAUAAUAAUUUGUCUUUUAAUUGGGGGCUUGUAUGAAUGGUUGGACGAGGAAUAUACUUUCUUUUAAAUAAUUUAUGAAUUUAAUUUUUUAGUCAAAAAGCUUAAAUUAUUUUGAGGGACGAGAAGACCCUAUAGAUCUUUAUAUUUAUUCUUUUUAAUUUUUUUUGUUUAUAUUUGUUUUAAUUUGAUGUUUAUUUUGUUGGGGUGAUUUGGAAAUUUUUUUAACUUUCUAUAUUAAUUAUUUCAUUAAUUAGUGUUUAUGUGAUCCAUUAUAUGUGUAUGUAAGAUUAAGUUACCUUAGGGAUAACAGCGUAAUUCUUUUGGAGAGUUCUUAUCGAUAAAUGAGUUUGCGACCUCGAUGUUGGAUUAAAUUAAUGAUUGGGUGUAGAAGCUCAUAUUAGCAGGUCUGUUCGACCUUUAAUAUAUUUACAUGAUCUGAGU